rnacentral:misc_RNA from 1 species
GAUGAAGAACGCAGCGAAAUGCGAUAAGUAAUGUGAAUUGCAGAAUUCAGUGAAUCAUCGAAUCUUUGAACGCACAUUGCGCCCGCCAGUAUUCUGGCGGGCAUGCCUGUUCGAGCGUCAUUUCAACCAUCAAGCCCUGCUUGUGUUGGGGUCCUGCGGCUGCCCGCAGGCCCUGAAAACCAGUGGCGGGCUCGCUAGUCACACCGAGCGCAGUAAUACAUUUCGCUUUGGUCGUGCGGCGGGUUCUUGCCGUUAAACACCCCCCUUUCCAAAGGUUGACCUCGGAUCAGGUAGGAAUACCCGCUGAACUUAAGCAUAUCAAUAAGCGGAGGA